rnacentral:tRNA from 2 species
GUCCCCAUAGCUCAGCGGUAGAGCAGCGGAUUCUUAAUCCGCGGGCCGCAGGUUCGAAUCCUGCUGGGGACA